rnacentral:lncRNA from 1 species
UUUUUUAUUUAUAAAAUAAUACAAAAUCAUUUUUAAUUGUUUUCCUUUUUCUUUUUUCCUAUUCCUUUUCCAUUUCAUUUUUCCAAACUCAACCGACAACCAUUCUCUCAUUUUUUUCCAGAACACUCUUCAUGUUUCCUAGCCCUCUGUCUCUCCUUUUUCUCUCUCUCUCUCUCUCUCUCUCUCUCUCUCUCUCUCUCUCUCUACGACGCAACCCCCCUCAUUUCUGAAACCUCUCUCUCUCUUUAAUCUCUCUCAUUCUCUUGCAUGCAUCAUCAGAUCACAAUUUUGGUGCCGAAAUCGCAUGCUCCGAAUCUUCCGUCAGCUCCUUCUCCUCCUCCACCGUGACCACCGCUGGAGCUGGAGAGGAUGGGAUAGUGGACGAGAUCGGCGAGAUGUUGGAGGAGUUCGAGGCUCGACAGAAAAAAAAAAAACAUUAAAACAGGCGUCUGACGUCAGCUAACGUCAGACCCACCUCAGGCUCUCGGGCCGGCGAGAAUCGACGGGCCUGGCGCUCGGGGGUGCUCGGGCUCCCUCGCCAGCCAACGCUGGACUUCCUCCCUCGGGCAAUCAAGCCCUGUUCCAGAGCCUGUCCCUCGAGCAGGAGCUCCCGCUGGAGCUGCUCU